rnacentral:rRNA from 1 species
AUUGAACGCUGGCGGCAGGCUUAACACAUGCAAGUCGAGCGGGGUGAUGGUGCUUGCACUAUCACUUAGCGGCGGACGGGUGAGUAAUGCUUAGGAAUCUGCCUAUUAGUGGGGGACAACAUCUCGAAAGGGAUGCUAAUACCGCAUACGUCCUACGGGAGAAAGCAGGGGAUCACUUGUGACCUUGCGCUAAUAGAUGAGCCUAAGUCGGAUUAGCUAGUUGGUGGGGUAAAGGCCUACCAAGGCGACGAUCUGUAGCGGGUCUGAGAGGAUGAGCGGCCACACUGGGACUGAGGCACGGCCCAGACUCGUACGGGAGGCAGCAGUGGGGAAUAUUGGACAAUGGGGGGAACCCUGAUCCAGCCAUGCCGCGUGUGUGAAGAAGGCCUUAUGGUUGUAAAGCACUUUAAGCGAGGAGGAGGCUCUUUUGGUUAAUACCCAAGAUGAGUGGACGUUACUCGCAGAAUAAGCACCGGCUAACUCUGUGCCAGCCGCCGCGGUAA